UAUAUAUAUAUAUAUAUAUAUUUGUAAGAGAUACUUGAACUACCGAGUUGAACAACUUAUGCAUUUGUUACUUUCUCAAACACAUGAGAUGAGAAAUUUUGUAGCAGACAACAUAAUGUCUUGAUAAUUUUAGCAUUGCAAGUUUAGUUGGAAUGAUGUACAAGUAAAACCUUUUGAAAUAAUUAGAGAUUACUUAAGAUGAACAUAAAUUACCUCUUGAGCAUGAAUUGAUUUGUCUUCUAUUUCUUCCUUGAGGAUCUCUUUGGUCAAUGCACUAUCAUCUUUGCUCUCCUCAAAAUCAACCACUGUGGUAACAUGUUGACCAAUUGUUGACUCUUGUAUAUCCUCACACGUUGCAUCUUCUGAACUUGUAACGGCAUCCCCACCACCUUGGACUUCUUCUGGCAUUUUGAGUUCAUGUUCCUUUUCUUGAUUUUCCUCUUUGCUCACUAUCUCAUUCUCAUUCAAUUCAGGUUUAGCCUUCUCUGAUCCUGUCACUUCACACACCUCCUUAACCAAUGGGCUUUCAAACUCAUCAUUGACUAUAGCAUCUUCCUCAAUCUUUUCUUCAUUUUCCAUAGUUUCUUUUUUAGGUUCUAUUUCUGUUGAGCUGCAAACAUCAGUAGUAAUGACAUGCAGCAACCCUUGUUGCUCCAUAUUUUCUUUUGUUUCUAUACUAGAUUCGAUUUCUUCAAUGUUUUCCUCUACACUUUCUCUCGUUUCAACAACUUCAGGUUCUUUACCUUCUUCUUGGUAGUUCUUUUCUUGCAAGUCUUCUUCUAAGGCUGCAACCUGUGAGCUUGUUACAUUAUCCUCGCCUUGACCUUCUGUUGACAUGUCAACCUGAUCCUUUUCUUGUUCUUCAUCCUUGAAAGUUUCAAUAGCUUUUACCUCUUGUUCAGAUUCAACCUUUUUUGAGCUAGUCUCAUCGCAUACCUCCUUGGUAGUCUCUUCAUAAACCUCCUUCAUAGACUCUUCAUUCUUUUGUUCAGUUUCCGUGGUCUCUUCUUGAGAUUCUGUUUGUGCUGAUAUGCAAGCUACCUCUUGAGCAUCACUUGGUUUUUCCUCUGUUUCUUCCAUAAGGAUCUCUUUAGGCAUUAAACCUAUCGCUUGUCCCUCCUCUAAAUAGGCCACUGUAGUGUCCUGUUGACCAACUGUUGUUUCUUUUAUAUCCUCACACGUUGCAUCUUUUGAACUUGUAGUUGUAACAUCAUCCCCUAAACCUUUUCCUGACACAUAAACCUCUUGUUCCUUUUCUUCAUCUUCAACUUUGUUCACUAUUUCUUUCUCAUUUGUUGUUUCUUUUACCUCUUCGCUAUAUUCAACUUUCUCUGAACUGGUCUCUUCACAUACUUCAUUGACUGGGGAGCUGUCAACAUUUUCCUUUUGACCAUUAUCACUCUGAAUAGGCUCGUCACUUUUUACUUCAUGUUCUUCACUUUCUACCUGAGAUUUUGUUUGUGAUGUGAUGCAAUCAUCAUGCAACAGUUCUUGCUGCUUGGUUUCAACACUUGGUUUGAUUUCUUUAGUAUCUUCCUCUUGCUCAAUCUCUGAACAAGAUUGAACAGUUUUGUUGUCGCUUUCAUCAGGCUUUUGUUCUGUUUUGUCCUAUUAGAGAAAAAGUAUUCAGUUAGAUAUGAUGAUUUAUAUAAAUAGGCUCAAAGUUUUUAAAAACAAUCUCUGUGGUAGGUUUUUUUCAUUGUUCUUUUUUAAGAUAAUUGUGAGUGACAGUUGUUCUUUAUAACAUUAACAUGAUUCUACAUUGCUUAGUAAUAAAACAUUAAAAGUUUUAGUAGGAAAGAUAUACAAGUAAAACCUUUUGGAUUGUUCAGAGUUAACAUGGGAUGAACACGAAUUACCUCUUGAGCAUCAAUUGCACUCUGAUUCGGCUCCUCGAACUCGAUAUCAGCCACUGGGGUAGCCUUUUGACCAAUUAUUGUUUCUUUUAUAUCCUCGCUGGAUGCAUUCUGUGAGCUUGUAACAUCAUCUCCACCACCUUGGACUUCUUUUGACAUUUUAAUCUCUUGUUCCUUUUCUUGAUUUUCCUCAUUGUUCACUAUUUCAUUCUCAUUCAAUUCAGAUUCAGCCUUCUCUGAGCUUGUUGCUUCACAUACUUCCUUCACCAAGGGGCUUUCAGACUUAUCUGUUUGACCAUCAUCAUUCACCAAUGCCUCUUCAUCAAUCUUUAUAUCAUCUUUUGUUUCGGCACUAGAUUUGAUUUCUUCAGUAUCUUCCUCUAAAUACUCUCUAGGUUUGACAAAUUCGGGUUCCUUACCUUCAUCAUCAUAUUUUGUUUCUGGUAAGUCCUGUAUAGAAGUUGCAUCUUGUGAGAAAGUGACAUCAUCUUUUCCUUGGUCUUCUUCUGAAAUGAUGGACUCUUGUUCUUGUUCUUGUUCUUUUUCUUUUUCUUGAUGUUCAUCUUUGUCAGAAGGUUCUACCCCUUCAAAUUUACCCUUCUCUAAGUGAGUUUCUUCACAUACUUCAGUCACAUCUUCAUCGUCUGUAAUCUUUACCUGCUCCUUUUCAUCUGUUUCCACACUUGGCUUGAUUUCUUCAGCAUUUUCAUUUUUGUUGACACUUUCCUCGGGCUUUUGUUCUAUUUUUUCAUUUGCUCCACUCUCAUCCUGCUCACUUGCCUAUAUGAACACAAGUAUUUUGAGUACAUGUGGAGAAUAAAAGUAACACAUCAUGAUAAGUCUAAUGCAUAGUCAAACUUUUAAAACAAUCUUUGUGGCAGCUUCAAAAAAAUUUGUGAGCCAAAUUUGCUAUAAACUACUUUAUAGAAUGGUUUUCUCUAAACAUUUAUCGUUUUAUGAACUCUAACUCUUCUCAACAAAUGAAACUAAACGUUUGGAUGAGACAAGCAUUUGACAUUAAAAUUAUGUAUGAAAAUCAUAAUAUUGUCUUAUACUUUUAUAAAUUAAACAUAAAACUAGUAAGAAUUAGCCUUAACAUUUAACAAUACAUUAGUAUAAUAUGUGAUUUUUAGUUUCUCUUACACAUGAGAUAAGAAAAUAUGUAGCAGACAACAACAUUUCCAUAUGUCAUAAUGAUUAUAGCAUUUCAAAUUCUAGUAAGACUGAUCUACAAUUAAAACUGUAAAACCUUUUAGGAAUAGUUAGGUUUACUUAGAAUGAACAUGAAUUACCUCUUGCACAUCAGUUGAUUUGUCCUCUGCUUCUUCCUUAAGGAUCUCCUUAGGCGUUGAGUUUAGAGCCUGUUCCUCCUCUAAAUAGGCCACUGUAGUAACAUGCUCACCAGUUGUUGUUUCUUUUAUAUCCUCAAAUGUUGCAUCUUGUGAACUUGUAACAUCAUCCCCUAAACCUUUUCCUGACACAUAAACCUCUUGUUCCUUUUCUUCAUCUUCAACUUUGCUUGCUAUUUCGUUUUCAUUCAGAUCGAUAUUAACACUGUCAGAAAGUUUUAACCCUUCUUCAGAUUCAACCUUCUCUGAGACAGUCUCUUCACAUACUUCCUUCACCAUGGUCUCUGUAUUAGAACUAUCAGAGUAGUUCACCUCUUCUUUAUAUUCAAUUUUCUCUGAACUAGCCUCUUCACAUACUUCAACACUUGGUUUGGUUUCUUCAGUAUCUUUCUCUUGCUCAAUUUCUGAACCAGACUGUACAAUUUUGUUGUCACUUUCUGCAGACUUUUGUUCUUUUUUGUCCUAUUAGAGAAGAAAUAUUCAGUAUAUUAUACGACUGAAAGAAAAGAAAUGAUGAUUUAUAUAAACAGGCUUAAAGUUUUUAAAAACAAUCUUAAGGGUAGGUUUUUUUCAUUGUUAUUCUAUAAAAUAAAUGUGAGCGACAGUUGUACUUUAUAACAUGAAUCUACAUUGGUUAGUGAUAAAAAAAAGCAUUUCAAGUUUUAGUUGGAAUGAUGUACAAGUAAAACCUUUUGGAUUGUUUAGGAGUUAACAUGGUAUGAACAUGAUUUACCUCUUGAACAUCAAUCACACUCUGAUUCUGCUCCUCGAACUCGAUAUUAGCCACUGGGGUAGCCUGUUGACCAAUUGUUGUUUCUUUUAUAUCCUCACUGGAUGCAUUCUGUGAUCUUGUAACAUCAUCUCCACCACCUUGGACUUCUUCUGACAUUUUAAGCUCUUGUUCCUUUUCUUGAUUUUCCUCUUUGCUCACUAUUUCGUUCUCAUUCAAUUCAGAUUCAGCCUUCUCUGAGGUUGUCGCAUCAUAUACUUCCUUCACCAAGGGGCUUUCAGACUUCUUUGUUUGAUCAUCAUCAUUCACUAAUGCCUCUUCAUCAAUCUUUAUAUCAUCUUUUGUAUCAGCACUAGAUUUGAUUUCUUGAGUAUCUUCGUCUAUAUUCUCUCUAGGUUUGACAAAUACAGGUAAGUUCUCUAUAGUGGUUGCAUCUUGUGAGCAUGUGAUAUCAUCUUUUCCUUGGUCUUCUUCUGAAAUGAUGGACUCUUGUUCUUUUUCUUUUUCUUGAUCUUUAUCAUUGUCAGAAGGUUCUACCCCUUCAAAAUUUCCCUUCUCUAAUUGAGUUUCUGCACAUACUUCAAUCACAUCUUCUUCAUAGUCUGUAAUCUUCACUUGUUCCUUUUCAUCUAUUUCCACACUUGGCUUGAUUUCUUCGGUAUCUUCAAUUUUGUUGACAAUUUCCUCGGGAUUUUGUUCUAUUUUUUCGUUUGCUCCACUCUC
rnacentral:lncRNA from 1 species